GAGUUUGAUCCUGGCUCAGAUUGAACGCUGGCGGUAUGCUUAACACAUGCAAGUCGAACGGAAACGAUACUAGCUUGCUAGUAGGCGUCGAGUGGCGGACGGGUGAGUAACGCGUAGGAAUCUGCCUGAUAGUGGGGGAUAGCCCGAAGAAAUUCGGAUUAAUACCGCAUAAUCUAUUCGUAGUAAAGUGGGGGACUUUCGAGCCUCACGCUAUCAGAUGAGCCUGCGUAAGAUUAGCUUGUUGGUAGGGUAAAAGCCUACCAAGGCGACGAUCUUUAGCUGGUCUGAGAGGAUGAUCAGCCACAUCGGGACUGAGACACGGCCCGAACUCCUACGGGAGGCAGCAGUGGGGAAUAUUGGACAAUGGGGGCAACCCUGAUCCAGCAAUACCGCGUGUGUGAAGAAGGCCUGAGGGUUGUAAAGCACUUUCAAUUGUGAAGAAAAGUUAGCGGUUAAUAACCGUUAGCCUUGACGUUAACUUUAGAAGAAGCACCGGCUAACUCCGUGCCAGCAGCCGCGGUAAUACGGAGGGUGCAAGCGUUAAUCGGAAUUACUGGGCGUAAAGCGUGCGUAGGCGGUUUAUUAAGUCAGAUGUGAAAGCCCCGGGCUUAACCUGGGAACUGCAUUUGAAACUGGUCAACUAGAGUAUGGUAGAGGAAAGUGGAAUUUCUGGUGUAGCAGUGAAAUGCGUAGAUAUCAGAAGGAACAUCAAUGGCGAAGGCAGCUUUCUGGACCAAUACUGACGCUGAGGUACGAAAGCGUGGGUAGCAAACAGGAUUAGAUACCCUGGUAGUCCACGCCGUAAACGAUGAUAACUAGCCGUUGGGGGGAUUUACCCUUUAGUGGCGAAGCUAACGCGUUAAGUUAUCCGCCUGGGGAGUACGGCCGCAAGGUUAAAACUCAAAGGAAUUGACGGGGACCCGCACAAGCGGUGGAGCAUGAGGUUUAAUUCGAUGCAACGCGAAGAACCUUACCUGGUCUUGACAUCCUGCGAACUUUCUAGAAAUAGAUUGGUGCCUUCGGGAACGCAGUGACAGGUGCUGCAUGGCUGCCGUCAGCUCGUGUCGUGAGAUGUUGGGUUAAGUCCCGUAACGAGCGCAACCCCCAUCCUUAUUUGCCAGCACAUCAUGGUGGGAACUAUAAGGAGACUGCCGGUGAUAAACCGGAGGAAGGCGGGGACGACGUCAAGUCAUCAUGGCCCUUACGACCAGGGCUACACACGUGCUACAAUGGGAAGGACGAAGAGCCGCGAAGCCGCGAGGUGUAGCUAAUCUCAUAAACCUUUUCGUAGUCCGGAUUGGAGUCUGCAACUCGACUCCAUGAAGUCGGAAUCGCUAGUAAUCGUAGAUCAGAAUGCUACGGUGAAUACGUUCCCGGGUCUUGUACUCACCGCCCGUC
rnacentral:rRNA from 1 species